rnacentral:rRNA from 1 species
GGACCGUGAAACGACUUUGCGCCGAUGAUAGUGCUGCAACCAGUGUGAAAGUAGGUCAUCGUCAGGC